rnacentral:rRNA from 1 species
AUUGAACGCUAGCGGGAUGCUUUACACAUGCAAGUCGAACGAGUGGCGGACUGGUGAGUAAUAUAUCGGAACGUUCCCAGUAGCGGGGGAUAACUACUCGACAGCGUGGCUAAUCCCGCAUACUAUUGUCGAGGCCGAUAUCGGAUUCGCUAGGUGGGGGGGUAACGGCUCACCAAGGCAACGAUCCGUAGCUGGUUAGAGAGGACGACCCGCCACACUGGGACUGUGACACGGCCCAGACUCCUACGUGAGGCAGCAGUGGGGAAUUUUGGGCAAUGGGGGAAACCCUGAUCCAGCCAUGCCGCGUGUAUGAGAAGGCCUUCGGGUUGUAAAGUACUUUUGGCAGAGAAGCGGUAUCUGCAGAAUAAGCACCGGCUAACUACGUGCCAGCCGCCGCGGUAAUUC